rnacentral:rRNA from 1 species
GCGCGUAGGCGGCCUUCUAAGUCAGACGUGAAAUCCCCAGGCUUAACUUGGGAACUGCGUCUGAUACUGGGAGGCUUGAGUGCGGGAGAGGGAUGUGGAAUUCCAGGUGUAGCGGUGAAAUGCGUAGAUAUCUGGAGGAACACCGGUGGCGAAGGCGGCAUCCUGGACCGACACUGACGCUGAGGCGCGAAAGCUAGGGAGCAAACG